UGGGGAAUUUUGGACAAUGGGCGAAAGCCUGAUCCAGCAAUGCCGCGUGUGUGAAGAAGGCCUUCGGGUUGUAAAGCACUUUUGUCCGGAAAGAAAUGGCUCUGGUUAAUACCUGGGGUCGAUGACGGUACCGGAAGAAUAAGGACCGGCUAACUACGUGCCAGCAGCCGCGGUAAUACGUAGGGUGCAAGCGUUAAUCGGAAUUACUGGGCGUAAAGCGUGCGCAGGCGGUUGUGCAAGACCGAUGUGAAAUCCCCGAGCUUAACUUGGGAAUUGCAUUGGUGACUGCACGGCUAGAGUGUGUCAGAGGGGGGUAGAAUUCCACGUGUAGCAGUGAAAUGCGUAGAGAUGUGGAGGAAUACCGAUGGCGAAGGCAGCCCCCUGGGAUAACACUGACGCUCAUGCACGAAAGCGUGGGGAGCAAACAGG
rnacentral:rRNA from 1 species